GGGGACCGAAGCGGUGGAGGCGGAGGCGGCGGCUUCACCGGAGGACGAGGAGGAAGGCGAUGACUUUGAGCUACUGGAUCAGAGGGAGCUGGAGCAAAUGGAUGUAGAGCUGGGCCUCGGGGAGGAGCGGGAAGGGCAAGACCCUCCUGCCGCUCCGGCUCCGGCUUCCCCCUCUCCCGCACUUGCUGAGCUGCCAAAGCAAGGAGAUGAGGAGGAGGCAGCGAUGACGGCGGCGUCUACGUCUUAGGUCUUCUCCGUGCGCCCCUCGGGUCUCCGUCGUCACCGGAAAGAAGGAAGAACUCCCGUGGCGAACGUGCGGCGGGUUUUAGAUGUCCGCGUCGGCCGGGAUGGAAACGCGUCAGUGUUCGUGUGCUGUGUUUGGAAUAACAAACCCUUUCCAUCCUUCUAGAGCCCGGCCUCUGCUGCCUGAGCGGGAGGCGCCCCUGCCCGGCGGCCGGGGAGGAGCCGGCUCCUGGAAGCCUUACGCCACAACGGAGCACCAACCCCUGCAAACGCUUCCUAGUAAUGGUGCGGUAUUUUGGUCUGUCUUCUGUUUGUCUUUCGUUUUGCACGCCGAGUACUGAGCUAGCUGUAGCUGCUGCUAAUACCCAACUCCCCAGUAGGACAUAUGCAAUCUUCUUUUAUCGGGUUUUUAAAUGGCUACGAGUGUAAAUAAUUUUAACUUCCAUCGGUUUCGUUUGGGGGAGGGUUGGGGAGGGGAGCGCGGUCAGACACGGCUCUGGGGGGCUGGGAGGGGGCCGGGGGGGGGGGGGGGGGGGGGAACACGAGCGGAUGGGUCCUGAGCAACAAAGAGCCCCUUUUCGCAACCUGUCGGCACCUUUCCCGCGGCUGCUGGAGCACGGUGUCGGGCGCUGCCUGUUUUUCCCUGUCUGGUUGCAGUUGUGCUACUGAGCGGCCGUGGAGUUUUUGCAAUCAAUGAAGUUCACUCCUGGCCCCAUCCCGCGUCUCUUCCUGCCGCGGCCGCGCCGCGCGUCCCUUAAGCUGCAGGCUGCCGGGGGGCCGAGCAGCCCUCGGCUCUGCCCGCAUCCCUUGGGAGCGGCGGCGGGGCUUCGGGAGACCUCGAAGCACCUCGAAGAGAGCCGGGAGCUCCGUCGCACAGCGGAGGGUCGGCGCUUCGCGUCCGUUCGACGGCCGGGGAGGGAGGCGGCGCUCCGUCCCCCACUGCUGGGACACGGGAGGGAACGGGAAGAUUUCCUGCCCCUCAAGUGCGACGCCUGCGAGCGGAUCUUCUGCACCGACCACGUCGCGUACGCCCAGCACGAGUGCACCUCCGCCUACAAGAAGGACGUGCAGGUGCCCGUGUGCCCGCUGUGCAACACGCCGGUGCCGGUGCGGCGGGGCGAGAUGCCCGACGCGGUGGUGGGAGAGCACAUCGACCGCGACUGCAGGUCCGACCCCGCGCAGCGCCAGCGCAAGAUCUUCACCAACAAGUGCUUGAAGCCCGGCUGCAAGCAGAAGGAGAUGAUGAAGGUGAUCUGCGAGCAGUGCCACAAGAACUACUGCCUGAAGCACCGGCACCCGCUGGACCACGACUGCACCGGGGCCGGGAGGCCGCUCUCUAAAGCGGGGCACGCUGCUCUCACCAGGGCCCAGGCGUCCCCCCCUCAAACCGGCGGCACAUCGAGCAGCGCCGCCCGGCCCGCAGGCAGCCCCCCCUGCCCUGCCCCUGCCAGAGGUGUGGGAGCGGCCGUGCCCCAGGUCCGCAGCACCUCCCCGCCAGCCGCCGUGCUGCAGAAUGGGCUGAGCGAGGAGGAAGCGCUGCAGCGGGCGCUGGAGAUGUCCCUGGCAGAGUCGGCACGUGGCUCGGCGCAGCCGCCCAGGUACAGCUGGGGCAUACGGUGCCACCCCCGUGCACGCCUGGCUUGCAUAUGAUGGCCCUGCUCUGCAAGGUGCUGGGGAAAAGGGAAGAGCCCGGAGCUGUGGCUGAGCCCACUGCCGGGUGGGGACAGUGCCAGGCAGCGCAGGGGGUUCCACGCUGCUUCCUGACUGCUUGGCACUGAUGGGCACAGCCAGAGCUGCAGGGGGUAGCCGGCAGCCCACGGGCACGCUGCUCGGUGCUGCUAAAUGGAGCGCGGGCGUGCAGGCAGCCCCCUGCCCUCUGCUGCCCCGGGGACGUAGGGGGGUGGGCACAUGGGGUGCCAGGCACACGGUGCGCCGCUGUCCCUGCAGCACGCAGGAGGAGGAGGACCUGGCACUGGCGCAGGCGCUGUCAGCAAGUGAAGCUGAGUACCAGCAGCAGCAGCGGCAGGGACACGGCUCAAAGCCGUCCAACUGCAGCAUGUCAUAGGCACGUGGGGGCUGUGCUGGUGGACACGGCGUCCUGCUCGUGGCACAAGGAGCCGCCCUGGCACCGCACGUGGACGCUGUGGGGUCCUGGCCUGGGUGCCACCAGGAGCCACCUGAUCUCCCCAGGGCUCUAAACAAGCCACCGAGCACACGCCGACACCUCACCCUGCAUGCAGGCGGUGCAGCAUGCUCCUGGAGAAGUGGGGGCUGCAGGGGGACCCGAGCACACGCUGAGCACAGCAGCUGCUGGUUGGGUCAUCUGAGGAGGAGCCCAAAGGGGCAUCUGCGGGCGGCGUCACCAGGGGCUGGCGGUGCGCUCGGGUUGGGAUGAGGGAGUGCUGAUGUGUCAAAGUGCUGCUUGGGAGAAAAUAAAGGCAUGGCCAAGGGCCAUCCCACAGGCGCACCCCCUGCCCAGAACGCACAGCACAGAGCUGGGAAGGACCUCGUUUAAGAAACUACACCACAGCAGAACAAACAGGUACAAAAGGAGUGUCCAGGCCGGGCCCUGCAGCUC